rnacentral:rRNA from 1 species
GACGAACGCUGGCGGCGUGCCUAAUACAUGCAAGUAGAACGCAGUUGCGAACGGGUGAGUAACGCGUAGGUAACUGCCUCAUAGCGGGGGAUAACUAUUGGAAACGAUAGCUAAUACCGCAUACUGUGAGAUGGACCUGCGUUGUAUUAGCUAAUUGGUGAGGUAAAGGCUCACCAAGGCGACUAUACAUAGCCGACCUGGGAGGGUGAUCGGCCACACUGGGACGGGGAAACGGCCCAGACUCCGACGGGAGGCAGCAGUAGGGAAUCUGCGGCAAUGGAAGGAAGUCUGGCCAAGCAACGCCGCGUGAGUGAAGAAGGUUUACGGAUCGUAAAGCUAUGUUGUUAGAGAAGCGGUAACUAGCCAGAAAGGGACGGCUAACUACGGGCCAGCAGCCGCGGUAAUUC